rfam:Salmo salar isolate Sally breed double haploid chromosome ssa15, whole genome shotgun sequence.
UUCCCUGUGGCUCAGUUGGUAGAGCAUGGUGUUUGCAACACCAGGGUUGUGGGUUCGAUUCCCACGGGGGACC